rnacentral:rRNA from 1 species
UGAGGAAUAUUGGUCAAUGGGCGAGAGCCUGAACCAGCCAAGUCGCGUGAAGGAAGACAGUCCUAAGGUUUGUAAACUUCUUUUAUACGGGAAUAACGGGCGAUACGAGUAUUGCAUUGAAUGUACCGUAAGAAUAAGCAUCGGCUAACUCCGUGCCAGCAGCCGCGGUAAUACGGAGGAUGCGAGCGUUAUCCGGAUUUAUUGGGUUUAAAGGGUGCGUAGGUUGUUCGGUAAGUCAGCGGUGAAACCUGAGCGCUCAACGUUCAGCCUGCCGUUGAAACUGCCGGGCUUGAGUUCAGUGGCGGCAGGCGGAAUUCGUGGUGUAGCGGUGAAAUGCAUAGAUAUCACGAGGAACUCCGAUUGCGAAGGCAGCUUGCCAUACUGCGACUGACACUGAAGCACGAAGGCGUGGGUAUCAAACAGG